GAAAUAAAAUCAAAUGAACUUCUAAUUCAUUAAUCAUGAUACCAAUAUCAUUUAUUUCU
rnacentral:tRNA from 1 species